GACGAACGCUGGCGGCGUGCUUAACACAUGCAAGUCGAACGGAAAGGCCCUGCUUUUGGGGGGUGCUCGAGUGGCGAACGGGUGAGUAACACGUGAGUAACCUGCCCUUGACUGUGGGAGAACUUCAGGAAACUGGGGCUAAUACCGGAUAGGAGCUCCUGCUGCAUGGUGGGGGUUGGAAAGUUUCGGCGGUUGGGGAUGGACUCGCGGCUUAUCAGCUUGUUGGUGGGGUAGUGGCUUACCAAGGCUUUGACGGGUAGCCGGCCUGGGAGGGUGACCGGCCACCUUGGGCCUGCGAUACGGCCCAGACUCCUACGGGAGGCAGCAGUGGGGAAUAUUGCACAAUGGGCGGAAGCCUGAUGCAGCAACGCCGCGUGCGGGAUGCCGGCCUUCGGGUUGUAAACCGCUUUCGCCUGUGACGAAGCGUGAAUGACGGUAAUGGGUAAAGAAGCACCGGCUAACUACGUG
rnacentral:rRNA from 1 species